UAGUCACAUUUCAAAGUGAGUUCUAGAGUAAUACAACCAAAAAUAAAUGUGAAACAAAGAUUCUAUUUUGAAAAAUGGAUUUGUUCGUUUAUUCUGUUUGUGUGAGCGUCUUUGUAGUUUUUCUUUUGCUUGUGCUGAUCUAUAAGUUCUUCGAACAGAAGAAAAAGAAGGAGGAGGAAAUGCAGCCAAUUUGUUUGAAUAUAUGGAAUGACACGAAAACUAAAGCUCGAAAAUUAGUUGUAAUCGAGGGAUUUAUUUACGAUGUGACCGAAGAAGCAGCAACAAGUUAAUGAAACAUUGAGAAAUCAGCUGAAUAUAUACAUAUACUCUAAUUUUUUCAUAGUAUUUGUUUUUUAUAAUUUUACAAUGGCACAACUCGUCUAACUAAUGCCAAAAACGGAUUAAAUGGAUUAACGUGCGCCGCCUUCAAGGAGCGCAAAACGAAAGACUUAGGCAAAAAACUUGAAAUGUCCAAGCCAAGUGCCGACAGCAGAGUUGUCGGGAAAAAUUAUUAUGCAGCAGCAAUUACUCGCCAAUUGUCGACGAUAAAAACAAGCAAAGAGAACGGCGAGAGAAGAGAGAAAAACUUGCCACCUGAGAUGUGUCUAAAAGGCGAUAAUCCCGACAACAACUAUCGAGAGUCCGACCGAGUCUUUGUGUGGAGUCUAGACAACGGUUCUAUGUUGGUUCCUGGUUAUGACCAAAUGCAGCAGCGGGAGCUAACACAGCGGCAGCCUCUAGGUGAUUAUUUUUAUUAUAAUUGUGCGUUUAUUGGCGUGAGGAAAUGUUCGAAUGAAUCCGAGUCCCAUUCCCAUUCCCGUUAACAUCUUUUGCAGUUAACUGAUAUUGAGGCCCCCAUCUAAUUGUGUCGCCAACUGGCCCGAACAUUGUGCUAAUGACGACGACACCUUCAACGAAGGCGACACAAUCUUUGAGCGCUGACUGGCGGCAACACUUUUGGUGCCCCGCCAGCUUCUCUCCUCCUCCUCCUCCUCAGACCUUAGCGAUUGCAUCGCCAAUGCAACGUAACUCAAGCAUCCCACUAAUUUUGCCAUAUAUGUCCAAGUGGUACGGCCAACGGCAACAAACGGUGGCAACAUCAACGGAGCAACAGCAACGGAGCAACAUCAACGCCAACGGCAACGACUUUAGCAAAACGGCAACAGCUUUGAUUUGCAGCGCAAACUUGGCGCUUGUCGUACAACAUUUUUGCCAAGACAUGAAUUUUGGCCAUUUCUAUGACCAUUUAGCCAUUCAAAAGACUUUUGCCGACAAAAUGCAUAGAUAAUUCUUCCUAUCAGCAUGCUUGUAUCAUCAUUAAAACUAGCAGAGAUC